rnacentral:lncRNA from 1 species
CUUGUGCAUUUGGAUAUCUAUUAAUAAUAUAUUUUGCUGACUCUAAAAAUUUUUGUAGAGCUUUGGGAGCUUAUAAUAAGUUACAACGUGCGAGAAAGCAAAAGAAAGUAGAAUGGUUCUUUCCCACCGUAAGUUGUUAACUUUCUAUUUAAAUGAAAAUAUAUAAUAGUUUUUGAAUAAUAUUUACCGACUAGUCGACAUUCACAUUUGAUCAUAUUAUAUUUUAGAGUAAAAAACAACAAGCUAGUUAUGAGUGUGGCUAUUACAUCAUGAUUCACAUGUUGAACAUUAUAUCUGCUACUAUUGUUUGUUCAUGGACACAGA